GCUUUUCUCCACGCCUCUUGUAUCUCACAAAGGUACCCAAAAAAACACGGAUCAGAAAAAGGGAUCAAUCAGGGGACGUGGCUCUCCAUCCGUUUCGCCGCCGCCAUAAACGCAUCGUUCCUUUGCCAUGUCGAUCAUGCAUCGUCGCCAUGGUAUGUUUCCACUGUUCCAUCAAUUCCAUUGCGAGCUCGAACUAGAAUGAGAGCAGCAGGAGUCAGCAACCCGGUGCCAGUGGCUUGCCUCGGACAUUCCUGCUCGGAGAGAACCCCAUUGUGUCUCCUACAUGAGGAUGUAUGCUCCAGACUGGACAAACGAGUACCAGCAGCAGGUGAUUAAAUUAAUCUGUUUACUACAAUGUCCUACAAGAAGUAGGAUGAAGCUAAGUUCAGCGCUCCUGGGCAGUAAGUCAAUUAAUCCCGGCAACAUCCAGACUCUGCAGGAUAUUUAGUGUCAAAUGGUUUAUUUCACAAAUUGAUGUAAACAAACGGUCGCUUAAAGAAGUCACCGCAUCUUGAGGAUGUCUUAAGCGGCUAUCACAAGGAUAUGAUUACUCAGCCCAGUAUUUUCAAGCAUUAUUAUUGGGCAUAGUCUUAGUCAUCCGGUCGCAAUGCCAAUGAAGCAAGAAAAUAACCAGAAGGAAGACUCAUUUAAGUGCAUGUAUCAACAUAAUUUCCACUUCUUCCAAUAUUCAUUCUUUUCUUCUCAUUAUGUUGCCAGUUUCCUACUUUGUAGGAUGUAAAAUAUGAAAUACAUUUUCUGAUAGUUUCAUUUGUUUGUUCAAAGCAUUGGAAACAUGCAUCAACAUUUGAUGCAAAUAGCUCAAUAAUAUCAAUUAGUA